CUUGGGAGAAUGUAUAGCUUUGGCUAGUUACGUUUGUCUACAUAGACAACUAAGAUCGACUCUGUCGAAUAAAAUUCUAGGUAGAAUACUGAUAAUGACAAUUUUUUAUCUAUCAGUCUUGACCAAAUUACGUGCCAGCAGUCGCGGUAAUACGUAAGAGGCUAGUGUUAUUCAUCUUUAAUAGGUUUAAAGGGUACCUAGACGGCGUAAUUAGCCCAAAAUAGGGAACGGUUAUAGCUAGAGUUAUAUAUGAAGAGGGGAGUAUUUAUGGAGUAGAGAUGAAAUUUUUUGAUACUAUAAGGACUGGCAACGGCGAAAGCAACCUUUUAUCUAAUAACUGACGUUGAGGGACGAAGGCUUGGGUAGCGAACAGGAUUAGAUACCCUAAUAGUCCAGGCAGAGAAUUAUGAAUGUCAUAUACUAGAUUUAGUUUAGUGUAUAAAUGAAAGUGUAAGCAUUCCACCUUAAGAGUAAUGUGGCAACGCAGGAACUGAAAUCAUUAGACCGUUUCUGAAACCAGUAGUGAAGUAUGUUAUUUAAUUCGAUAAUCCGCGAAAAACCUUACCACAAUUUGAAUAUUAUUUUUAUGUUAUUUAUAUACAUAUCUAUAUUACAAGCGUUGCACGGCUGUCUUAAGUUAAUGUCGUGAGAUUUUGGUUAGUUCCAUAAAAUUAACGUAAACCCUUGCUUUAUUUUAUAUUGUUUACGAUAGAGCAGUUCACCGUUAUAUUGGAUAUGAUAACAGGGAUCAAGAC
rnacentral:rRNA from 1 species